UACCAGCACCCCGAGUGGUCGGGACGUUUAUUGGGCCUAAAGCAUCCGUAGCCGGUUCUACAAGUCUUCCGUUAAAUCCACCUGCUUAACAGAUGGGCUGCGGAAGAUACUAUGGAGCUAGGAGGCGGGAGAGGCAAGCGGUACUCGAUGGGUAGGGGUAAAAUCCGUUGAUCCAUUGAAGACCACCAGUGGCGAAGGCGGCUUGCCGGAACGCGCUCGACGGUGAGGGAUGAAAGCUGGGGGAGCAAACCGG
rnacentral:rRNA from 1 species